GAUGAACGCUGGAGGCGUGCCUAAUACAUGCAAGUCGAGCGAACAGACGAGGAGCUUGCUCCUUCGACGUUAGCGGCGGACGGGUGAGUAACACGUAGGUAACCUACCUAUAAGACUGGGAUAACUUCGGGAAACCGGAGCUAAUACCGGAUAAUAUUUCGAACCGCAUGGUUCGAUAGUGAAAGAUGGCUUUGCUAUCACUUAUAGAUGGACCUGCGCCGUAUUAGCUAGUUGGUAAGGUAACGGCUUACCAAGGCAACGAUACGUAGCCGACCUGAGAGGGUGAUCGGCCACACUGGAACUGAGACACGGUCCAGACUCCUACGGGAGGCAGCAGUAGGGAAUCUUCCGCAAUGGGCGAAAGCCUGACGGAGCAACGCCGCGUGAGUGAUGAAGGUCUUCGGAUCGUAAAACUCUGUUAUUAGGGAAGAACAAACGUGUAAGUAACUGUGCACGUCUUGACGGUACCUAAUCAGAAAGCCACGGCUAACUACGUG
rnacentral:rRNA from 1 species